AGUAAGAGGUGUCAGUGUGUAGAGGUGUAAGUGUGUAGAGGUGUCAGUAUGUAGAGGUGUCAGUGUGUAGAGGUGUCAGUAUGUAGAGGUGUAAGUGUGUAGAGGUGUCAGUAUGUAGAGGUGUCAGUGUGUAGAGGUGUCACUGUGUAGAGGUGUCAUUGUGUAGAGGUGUCAGUGUGUAGAGGUGUCAUUGUGUAGAGGUGUCAGUGUGUAGAGGUGUCAUUGUGUAGCGGUGUCAGUAUGUAGAGGUGUCAGUGUGUAGAGGUGUCAGUGUGUAGAGCUGUGACAAGCACAUCGAGAACUGGAUCAGUCUCUGACACCUCUCCAGAGGAAGCAUGUGGCUCUAUGAGAUUGGU
ensembl:lncRNA